rnacentral:rRNA from 1 species
GACGAGGGAUCCUAGCGUUGCUCGGAAUCAUUGGGCGUAAAGCGGGUGUAGGUGGCUUUGUAAGUCAGAUGUGAAAGCCUGGGGCUUAACCCCAGAAGUGCAUUUGAAACUGCGAAGCUUGAGUGCUAGAGAGGUUAAUAGAAUACCUGGUGUAGUGGUGAAAUACGUAGAUAUCAGGUGGAACACCGGAGGCGAAGGCGGUUAACUGGCUAGACACUGACACUGAGACCCGAAAGUGCGGGGAUCAAACAGG